GAGGAAGCAGGACUCAGAAAGAGUCCUCCCAAGGGAGCUUGGGAAAUGGUUUAACAAGGUGUCAGCCAAUCCAGCCACACAAACUCAAAAGGCAACUCUGAUCAUGGUACCCACAUGAUGGGAAGCAGAAGGGUCAGAGUCACAGAAGGACCUGCAAAGACAGAAGCCGAGGGAAGAGUGAUGUGCUCUGAAGUUGAAAGCGGGGUCGGGAGCCACGGAUUACAGGCACCUCUAGAAUUACAGGCACCUCUAGAAGCCGCACAAGGUAAGAAUAUGGAUUGUCCCCUAAAGCCUCCAGGAGGAAUGCAGUUCUGUGGACACCUAUAUUUUAGCUUAGGGAGACCCCAUUUUGCUUUGCUUUGUAUUUUU